rnacentral:lncRNA from 1 species
GAAAUGGUUCUCUCUUUUAUAAAGAUGACAUAUGAAAAUAAAUCAAAUUUAGGUAAACUUGUGGUGAGAAUGAUAUAAUUAGAAUAAUUGUAAAAAUUCCUUCGUGAUAUGUACACAUACUAAAAAUGCUCUGAAUAUAAAAUUACUUGCGGGACUAUACCUUCGCAGUGUAAUUAUAAAAUAAAUCAGUGUUGAAAUGUUUUCUAAUCGGGAUGAGAUAAAUAGAUAAGAAACCAAUUAUAAAUAAAUCAAUCUUAUUCUUAUUCUUAUUCGUGGUAUGUUCUUUCAUAGUAAAAGCAAUCCGGAUCAAUAUAGUAUUCGCCAUUUUAAAUCGUUUUCCUUAUUAUGCUCGAAAUGCUACUACUGAAAUCAUUGUUAAAGCUAAAAAUGUCAUGUACUGAAUUAGC